rnacentral:rRNA from 1 species
UGAGGAAUAUUGCGCAAUGGGGGCAACCCUGACGCAGCAACGCCGCGUGAGUGAGGAGGGUUUUCGGACCGUAAAGCUCUGUCGAGCGGGAAGAAAUGCAUGGUGGCUAAUAUCCAUCAUGCUUGACGGUACCGCUAAAGGAAGCACCGGCUAACUCCGUGCCAGCAGCCGCGGUAAUACGGGGGGUGCAAGCGUUGUUCGGAAUUAUUGGGCGUAAGGAGCGUGUAGGCGGCUGGAUAAGUCAGAUGUGAAAUCCCUGGGCUUAACUCAGGAAGUGCAUUUGAAACUAUCCAGCUGGAGUAAGGGAGAGGAAAGUGGAAUUCCUGGUGUAGAGGUGAAAUUCGUAGAUAUCAGGAGGAACACCGGUGGCGAAGGCGACUUUCUGGCCCUAUACUGACGCUGAGACGCGAGAGCGUGGGUAGCAAACA